rnacentral:rRNA from 1 species
UACGUAGGGGGCAAGCGUUGUCCGGAUUUACUGGGCGUAAAGAGCGUGUAGGCGGCCACGCAGGUCCGUUGUGAAAACUGGAGGCUCAACCUCCAGACGUCGACGGAAACCGUAUGGCUAGAGUCCGGAAGAGGAGAGUGGAAUUCCAGGUGUAGCGGUGAAAUGCGUAGAUAUCUGGAGGAACACCGGUGGCGAAGGCGGCAUCCUGGACCGGUAUUGACGCUGAGGAGCGAAAGCCAGGGGAGCAAACGGG